rnacentral:rRNA from 1 species
AUGGAGGCCAAGUAUGCUGAUCUGCGGCGCGCGGCGGAGGAAACGGCGGUGGUGGACGCGCACGCGCACGACCUCGUCGCCGCUGGUUCCACCCUGCCCUUCAUCGGCUGCUUCUCCGAGGCCGACGGCGACGCGCUCGCCUUGGCCCCCCACUCCCUCCCUUUCAAGCGAAGCCUUAGGGACAUUGCUGCAUUGUACGACUGUGAUCCCUCACUUGAGAAGGUGGAGGAGUUCAGAAGGGCUCAAGGCCUGUCAUCUAUCACUUCAAAAUGCUUCCAAGCUGCCAAUAUAUCUGCGCUUGUUGUAGAUGAUGUCUCCACAUUGGACAAAACCCUUGAACUGGAAUCUCACAAGGCAUUUGCUCCCAAGGUUUACAGAGUUGUCGGAAUCGAGACCCUGGCGGAAACAAUUAUUAAUGAGGUUGCCAACAAAAUUGUUGGAUUGAAAAGCAUGGCUGCACAUAGAAGUGGCUUAGAGAUUGAUCCAAGUGUUAGCAAGGUGGAUGCAGAGGAUGGUCUUCGGAAGGAGCUAGCAACUCGGAGGCCUCUUCGGAUUACAAACAAAAACCUGUUUGACUAUAUAUUUAUUCAUAGUCUUGAAAUUGCUGUGGAGUUUCAUUUGCCAAUGCAGAUUCAUACAGGGUUUGGAGACAGGGAACUGGGCUUACGACAUUGCACCCUUUUUCAUCUGCGUGCUGUUCUUGAAGACAAAAGAUUUGUCAAGUGCCAAAUAGUUCUUCUAAAUGCUUCGUAUCCAUUUUCGAGGGAAGGAUCCUAUCUUGCAUCUGUUUACUCCCAGUUCUACCUUGAUUUUGGCUUUGCAUUUCCAAAACUUAGUGUUCAAGGAAUAACAUCAUCACUUAAAGAGCUCCUGGAGCGAGCUCCCAUAAAGAAGGUCAUGUUCAGCACAGAUGGAUAUGCUUUUCCAGAGACAUACUAUCUAGGUGCAAAAUGGGCACGUGAUGUCGUUUACCGUGUCCUCUCAGCUGCAUGUGAAGAUGGUGAUCUUACCAUUCAGGAAGCUAUAGAAGCAGUUGAGGACAUCUUCAGAAGAAAUGCACUGCAUCUGUACAAGUUGAAUGUCUUCCAUGAAAAAACUACCAGUAUUGAUGACAAUACCAUAUCAUCGUCGUCUUGUCUCGGGAAAGAUGAUGUGAUCCUUGUUCGAAUGGUCUGGAAUGAUGCUUCAGGUCAACAUAGAUGCCGUGCCUUGCCAGCCGAGAGAUUUUACGGCAUUGCACGGAACAAGGGUGUUGGUCUAGGUAUUGCAGCAGUGGGGUUUACUUCCUUUAGAGAUGCCCCAGCAGUUGGGACAAACCUUACUUGUGCCGGAGAGGAAAUCAGGCUUGUGGCAGAUAUGUCAACACUUUUGAGGAUCCCAUGGUCAAGAAACGAAGAAAUGGUGAUGGUUGACAUGCUAACCGGUUCCGGAGAAGCCUCCAAAUACUGUCCUAGAAAUGCUUUAAGAAAAGUGACAAAAGUUCUGCUAGAUGAAUUCAAUGUGGCAGGUUUUGAGAAUGAAUUUUAUCUCCUCAGAAAAUCAUUCAGCGAGGGGCAUGAACAUUGGGUUCCAUAUGAUAAUAGCAGUUACUGCUCGACUUCAGCAUUUGAUGGUGCAUCAUUUAUGCUGAAAGAAGCACAUUCUUGUCUUAAAGCUGCAGGCAUUGUGGUUGAGCAGAUGCAUGCUGAAGGUGGUAAUGGGCAGUUCGAGAUAGCCUUAAAGUAUGUGUUGUGCACUCUUGCUGCUGAUAAUCAGAUAUAUGCCCGAGAAAUUAUUAAAUCCAUUGCUCGAAAACACGGGGUGAUAGCAACAUUUCUACCAAAACCAGACCUAAAUGAACUUGGAUCCGGUUGUCAUGUGCACCUGAGCUUAUGGAAGAAUGACCAAAAUGUUUUCAUGGGCUCAAAUAAAUAUAAUUACCAUGGGAUGUCAAAUACCGGUGAACGGUUCCUUGCUGGAGUUUAUCAUCAUCUUCCAUCGAUACUGGCAUUUACUGCCCCUCACCCACACAGCUACGACCGAAUUCAGCCAAACACAUUCACUGGAGCAUAUCUUUGCUGGGGGAAAGAGAACCGGGAGGCUCCAUUGAGGACCUCCUGCCCACCUGGCGUGCCUCCUGAUUUUGUCAGCAACUUCGAGAUUAGGUCGUUCGACGGGUGCGCAAACCCUCACCUAGGCCUCGCCGCCAUUGUCGCUGCCGGGAUCGACGGGCUAAGGAGAGGCCUCAAGUUGCCUCCACCAACUGAACUGAACCCUGCAGAUUGCGCUUCACACGAGAGGCUACCGCAUGACUUGCUUGGAUCUGUGGAGGCACUUGCUGCGGACAAGAUUUUUCAUGAACUGAUGGGUGACAAACUUGUGACUUCUGUUAUAGCUAUGCGAAAGGCCGAGAUCGAGCACUACGCUAAGAACCCAGGGGCAGUCCACCAUCUCAUUCACCGUUACUAG